CCAUCUGUAACCUUCCUCUACAGCCGCCGUGGCCUCCACCAUCGCGGCGGCCGCUUGGCCCCGUUCGAAGCGUCCGAGAUCUUCGGUGCACGCCUCUCACCGUGGCCUCAUCGCGGCGGCCGCACUGGUCUCCUUCGGAGCGUCCGAGAUCCUCCGUGCACGCCUAUCACCACCGAUCGCUCGGCCUUUGCGAUUUUAAUUCGUCAUUUUUCUCUAAGACGCGCCCAGAUAAAGCAAGCUGCUGUUUCUCCCCCAUGAGGAACUCAUGAAGUAGUAUGGUGAGACUGACUGCUCGACAUCUCGGGCUUAUACUUUUGCUUAAUUAAUGGUGUUCAUAACCUAUUUGAUAGAAUUACGCACUCGGGACUGUCAACUAAUGCGAAAAAUCGCGAUCGAUCGCAUAAAAAUAUUUUCUUGCCGGUAGGCCUCUUGGAACGAAACAAGCUCAGUCAGCUCCACAUUGAGCUAUUAUUUUGUCUCGGUGGUGUGGUACCCAAAGCAGUGUCAUAACGUAUGCUUUUGAGUAAGUUGAAUAUUGACCGGAGUGGGUGCUGUAUUCAAUUUUCUAAUACCUGAAGGAUCAUUCAUGCUCUGACCUCCUUGCAGCUUUGGCUAUGAUCCUUUUGGGUUGAGCAAGAAGCCAGAAGAUUUCGCCAAAUACAAAGUCUAUGAGCUCAUCCAUGCAAAGGUGGGCAAUGCCGGUGCAGCUGGCUUCGUCAUCUUAGAGGCCUUCGACGACGACAAGUUUGGUGCAAAUUGUGGUCCUGAGGCUGUCUGGUUCAAGGUAUUAUUAGUAUUAUGCUUAUUUUGUACCUGACAAUCUUCAUAGCUCAAGCAACUUCACUUUUGAACUGCACCUUCUGUCAUCUACUAUGUGAUAUGUUCAUCUAUAGUGUCUGCUCAGGCCAUUUUUUCUAAAGACU